rnacentral:rRNA from 1 species
GACGAACGCUGGCGGCGUGCUUAACACAUGCAAGUCGAGCGGUAAGGCCCUUUCGGGGGUACACGAGCGGCGAACGGGUGAGUAACACGUGGGUGACCUGCCCUCAGCUCUGGGAUAAGCCUGGGAAACCGGGUCUAAUACUGGAUAUGACUCCAUGACGCAUGUUGUGGGGUGGAAAGCCUUGUGCGGCUGAGGAUGGGCCCGCGGCCUAUCAGCUUGUUGGUGGGGUGANGGCCUACCAAGGCGACGAC